UGGAGGGCAAGUCUGGUGCCAGCAGCCGCGGUAAUUCCAGCUCCAAUAGCGUAUAUUAAAGUUGUUGCAGUUAAAAAGCUCGUAGUUGAAUUUCGGGAUUAGUAGGUUGGUCGUGCCUCUGGUAUGUACUGGCCUUACUGAUUCCUCCUUCUUGAAGAACUGUAAUGCCAUUAAUUUGGUGUUGCGGGGAAACAGGACUGUUACUUUGAAAAAAUUA
rnacentral:rRNA from 1 species